rnacentral:rRNA from 1 species
GACAGAGGGUGCAAACGUUGCUCGGAAUUACUGGGCGUAAAGCGCGUGUAGGUGGAUUGGUGUGUCAGAUGUGAAAUCCCUGGGCUCAACCCAGGAACUGCACCUGAAACUACCAGUCUUGAGUGGUGGAGAGGAGACUGGAAUUCAUGGUGUAGCAGUGAAAUGCGUAGAGAUCAUGAGGAAGACCAGUGGCGAAGGCGGGUCUCUGGACAGUUCCUGACACUGAGACACGAAGGCCAGGGGAGCAAACGGG